UACGUAUGGAGCAAGCGUUAUCCGGAUUUACUGGGUGUAAAGGGAGCGUAGACGGUGAGGCAAGUCUGAUGUGAAAGCCCGGGGCUCAACCCCGGAACUGCAUUGGAAACUGUCUUACUAGAGUGCAGGAGAGGUAAGCGGAAUUCCUAGUGUAGCGGUGAAAUGCGUAGAUAUUAGGAGGAACACCAGUGGCGAAGGCGGCUUACUGGACUGUAACUGACGUUGAGGCUCGAAAGCGUGGGGAGCAAACAGG
rnacentral:rRNA from 1 species